UACGGAGGGUGCGAGCGUUGUCCGGAAUCAUUGGGCGUAAAGGGCGCGUAGGUGGCCCGGUCAGUCCGUGGUGAAAGCGCGGGGCUCAACCCUGCGUCGGCCAUGGAUACUGCCGCGGCUGGAGCACUGUAGAGGCAGGCGGAAUUCCGGGUGUAGCGGUGGAAUGCGUAGAGAUCCGGAAGAACACCGGUGGCGAAGGCGGCCUGACUGGGCAGUGGGGGAGCCCCUUCAAGCUGACACUGAGGCGCGACAGCGUGGGGAGCAAACAGG
rnacentral:rRNA from 1 species